rnacentral:rRNA from 1 species
CAGCCGCCACGGGAAUACGAGGGGGGCAAGCGUUGUUCGGAUUUAUUGGGCGUAAAGGGUGCGUAGGCGGUUUGAUAAGUCUGAUGUGAAAUCUAUGGGCUCAACCCAUAGUCUGCAUUAGAAACUGUCGGGCUUGAGUAUGGGAGAGGUGAGUGGAAUUUCCGGCGUAGCGGUGAAAUGCGUAGAUAUCGGAAGGAACACCUGUGGCGAAAGCGGCUCACUGGACCAUAACUGACGCUGAUGCACGAAAGCUAGGGGAGCAAACAGGAUUAGAUACCCGGGUAGUCCCUGUCUCUUAUAC